rnacentral:snoRNA from 1 species
ACCUGCAUUCAAAAGAGACCACGGGCUGUCUGUGCUCUGGUCGUUGACAAUGCAGGAGAGAAGUUGUGGAAAGCAAUUUCCGAGUUUGGAGGGUCCGCACUGUCCUUUCAAAUGCUGGCGCUUUCCCACA